rnacentral:rRNA from 1 species
UACAGAGGGUGCAAGCGUUGUUCGGAAUCAUUGGGCGUAAAGGGCGUGUAGGCGGCUUGCCAAGUCACCGGUGAAAGUUUUCGGCCCAACCGGAAAAUUGCCUGUGAUACUGGCGAACUUGAGUGCGUGAGGGGUGGGGGGAACGAGCAGUGUAGCGGUGAAAUGCGUAGAUAUUGCUCGGAAGGCCGGAGCCGAAGGGGCCCCACUGGUACGCAACUGACGCUGAGGCACGAAAGCGUGGGGAGCAAACAGG